UGUGUAGAGAUAUUGAGUUGUACAAUAGUAAGAUAUAGCAGUCACUCUUGUCUCUUGGUAUGCUUUUCCUUUACACUCAGGACAUUGAAAUCGGGCAACGAAUGAUUACAAUAUCGACAGUUGGUGUUCCAAACACAAUCAAGAAGCUUGCCUCUCAUAAGCUUCAGUCAACCUUAGCUGUCAGCUUACAUGCUCCAAACCAGAGUCUCCGGGAGAAAAUUGUACCUAGUGCCAAGGCUUAUCCUCUGGAAGCAAUUAUGAGUGAUUGUCGUGAUUACUUU